GCGCAGCGCACCGGGAGUGGACAUUUUGGUCUUUGUCCGCGGGUCAGUACGGCCUCUGGGUCCACGUGGCGCGAAAGUAGGAGCCUGACUCCUUUGCAUCUCUGGAAAGGACUUUUUCCUCCUCUUCAGAGGCCCCAGAGGCCCCUGGGCUUCACCUGAAACCUAUGAUGGUACUUCUGCCCUGGCAUUAACAUUUUAGUGCCCUGCCAUUUUCCCAAAAGCAGAUUAUAAAGAGACCAAGCUAUCUGAAUCCUGCAUUCAUGGAGAAAAGUGGAAAGGAAGUCUGUUCAGAAGAAGCUUGAGAAGAUGAUGAGCAGUUAGAGAUACAGCAGAACUUGGAGACAAAUUGCAUCCAUCAUCAAUAAAGCACAGACUGAGAAAAGGAGCACUGCAUAUAAGGCAAUUGUAAAAUAAUCCUUCUGCUCACAGGCCUUAUUUUAUUUUUUGUUCUAGUUCUGGGUCUUAAACUCAGGGCCUGAGUACUGUCCCUCAACUUUUUUAAAAGCUCAAGAUGACAAUUUGAGUUGCAGCCCACUUCUGGAUUUUUUCCCCCCAUAGUUAAUUGGCGCUAAGUAUCUCAUUGUAAUAAGAGCCUUGUAGACUUUAUUGCCUAGGCUGGCUUCAAACUGUGAUCCUCAGAUCUCAGCCUCCUGAGUAGUUAGGAUUAUAGGCAUGAG